UACGGAGGGUGCAAGCGUUAAUCGGAAUUACUGGGCGUAAAGCGUGCGCAGGCGGUUUGUUAAGUCUGUUGUGAAAUCCCCGAGCUCAACUUGGGAAUUGCAAUGGAUACUGGCAGGCUGGAGUAUGGUAGAGGAAGGUGGAAUUCCCGGUGUAGCAGUGAAAUGCGUAGAGAUCGGGAGGAACACCAGUGGCGAAGGCGACUUCCUGGCCUGUUCUUGACGCUGAGGCGCGAAAGCUAGGGUAGCAAACGGG
rnacentral:rRNA from 1 species